GUGUGGCGUUUCGUAUUUGCAUAAUAUAAAUACAAAUAAUUGUAUGGCUGCAACUGCAAACUAGAAAGGAGAAUAAAGAAAUGGGCGCAACGAAGAGUGGACGAGUUAAACUUGGAACACAAGGCCUUGAGGUUUCAAAAUUGGGAUUCGGAUGUCUGGGUCUUACUGGAGCGUAUAAUGAGCCUCUCCCGGAACAGGAUGGCAUAUCUAUUAUCAAGUAUGCAUUCAGUAAAGGAAUCACAUUUUUUGAUACCGCUGAUGUUUAUGGAGCCGGUGCUAAUGAAAUUUUGCUUGGAAAGGCUCUGAAGCAGCUACCUAGAGAAAAGAUCCAGCUAGCCACAAAAUUUGGUAUUGCGAGAUUAGAUUUUUCUAACAUGCUGAUCAAGGGUUCGCCUGAAUAUGUGCGCUCAUGCUGCGAAACUAGCUUGAAACGUCUUGAUGUUGAAUACAUUGAUCUCUAUUAUCAGCAUAGGGUGGACACAUCUGUACCUAUAGAGGAAACAGUGGGUGAACUUAAGAAACUGGUGGAGGAGGGCAAAGUGGUAUAUAGGGUUAUCUGAAGCCAGCUCAGAUACAAUAAGGAGAGCGCACGCAGUUCAUCCCAUCACAGCUGUGCAAAUAGAGUGGUCUAUAUGGACUCGUGACAUUGAGGACCAGAUAGUUACUAUCUGCAGGGAACUUGGUAUUGGAAUUGUAUCAUAUAGUCCUCUUGGUCGUGGUUUCUUUGGCGGCAAAGGAAUUCUGGAAAAUGUGUCUGCAAGUAGCUCCCUGAAAGUACAUCCACGCUUUCAAGCCGAGAACAUGGACAAGAACAAGAAUAUAUAUGAACGAAUUGAAAGCCUUGCAAAGAUGCAUCGGAUCACUCCUGCUCAGUUGGCAUUAGCGUGGCUACUCCAGCAAGGCGAGGAUGUUGUACCUAUCCCUGGAACAACUAAGAUUAAGAACCUGGAUCAGAAUAUAGGUGCCUUAGCAGUGAAACUGUCAGAGAAGGACCUGAGAGAAAUUUCUGAGGCGGUUCCCAUUGGUGAUGUAGCAGGCGGAAUACACUACUAUGGACUGGAACACAUUACCUGGAAGUAUGCUAACACACCUCCAAAAGAUUCGAGCAUCUCAACCUGAAGCACUCAACAUUCAACUUCUGUUAGAGAAUUCCACUAAGUCGUGAAUGAGGCUAACGAGGCUGACAAAGGCUAAUAUCAGCAAGCUAUAAAAAUAUCAAUAAUGUAGCCCAGGUCUCUAUUCCCCUAUGUCUUGUGUAAAGCUAAAAUUUAUGCUUGAUUAGAUGAUGCCACUGUUAUGGUUAGUUUUACAAAUAUUUUGUUUGUAACAAAUAAACCUCCAAGAUAAUGAAGUAUGUGCUUCACUUCAUUCCAAUA